CACGUAGGGGGCGAGCGUUGUCCGGAUUUAUUGGGCGUAAAGAGCUCGUAGGCGGCUCAGUAAGUCAGGUGUGAAAACUCCAGGCUCAACCUGGAGACGCCACUUGAUACUGCUGUGGCUAGAGUCCGGUAGGGGAGCAUGGAAUUCCUGGUGUAGCGGUGAAAUGCGCAGAUAUCGGGAGGAACACCGGUGGCGAAGGCGGUUCUCUGGGCCUUACCUGACGCUGAGGAGCGAAAGCGUGGGGAGCGAACAGG
rnacentral:rRNA from 1 species